GUGGGGAAUUUUGGACAAUGGGCGCAAGCCUGAUCCAGCAAUGCCGCGUGCAGGAAGAAGGCCUUCGGGUUGUAAACUGCUUUUGUACGGAACGAAACGGUCCUGGUUAAUACCCGGGGCUAAUGACGGUACCGUAAGAAUAAGCACCGGCUAACUACGUGCCAGCAGCCGCGGUAAUACGUAGGGUGCGAGCGUUAAUCGGAAUUACUGGGCGUAAAGCGUGCGCAGGCGGUGCUGUAAGACAGGCGUGAAAUCCCCGGGCUCAACCUGGGAAUUGCGCUUGUGACUGCAGCGCUGGAGUGCGGCAGAGGGGGAUGGAAUUCCGCGUGUAGCAGUGAAAUGCGUAGAUAUGCGGAGGAACACCGAUGGCGAAGGCAAUCCCCUGGGCCUGCACUGACGCUCAUGCACGAAAGCGUGGGGAGCAAACAGGAUUAGAAACCCUGGUAGUCC
rnacentral:rRNA from 1 species